UACGAAGGUGGCAAGCGUUGUUCGGAUUUACUGGGCGUACAGGGAGCGUAGGCGGUUGGGUAAGCCCUCCGUGAAAUCUCCGGGCCUAACCCGGAAAGUGCGGAGGGGACUGCUCGGCUAGAGGAUGGGAGAGGAGCGCGGAAUUCCCGGUGUAGCGGUGAAAUGCGUAGAGAUCGGGAGGAAGGCCGGUGGCGAAGGCGGCGCUCUGGAACAUUUCUGACGCUGAGGCUCGAAAGCGUGGG
rnacentral:rRNA from 1 species